UACCAGACUCCUACGGGAGGCAGCAGUGGGGGAUAUUGCACAAUGGGGGGAACCCUGAUGCAGCGACGCCGCGUGGGUGAAGGAGUGCUUCGGCAUGUAAAGCCCUCUCGGCAGGGAAGAAGCAAGACGGUACCUGACUAAGAAGCCCCGGCUAACUACGUGCCAGCAGCCGCGGGAAUACGUAGGGAGCGAGCGUUGUCCGGAAUUACUGGGUGUAAAGGGAGCGUAGGCGGGGAUGCAAGUUGGGUGUUAAAUCUACCGGCUCAACUGGUAGUCGCACUCAAAACUGCAGCUCUUGAGUGAAGUAGAGGCAGGCGGAAUUCCUGGUGUAGCGGUGAAAUGCGUAGAUAUUAGGAGGAACACCAGUGGCGAAGGCGGCCUGCUGGGCUUUUACUGACGCUGAGGCUCGAAAGUGUGGGGAGCAAACAGGAUUAGAUACCCGAGUAAG
rnacentral:rRNA from 1 species